rnacentral:rRNA from 1 species
UGGGGAAUAUUGGACAAUGGGCGCAAGCCUGAUCCAGCCAUGCCGCGUGAGUGAUGAAGGCCCUAGGGUUGUAAAGCUCUUUCACCGGUGAAGAUAAUGACGGUAACCGGAGAAGAAGCCCCGGCUAACUUCGUGCCAGCAGCCGCGGUAAUACGAAGGGGGCUAGCGUUGUUCGGAUUUACUGGGCGUAAAGCGCACGUAGGCGGACUUUUAAGUCAGGGGUGAAAUCCCGGGGCUCAACCCCGGAACUGCCUUUGAUACUGGAAGUCUUGAGUAUGGUACAGGUUAGUGGAAUUCCGAGGGUAGAGUUGAAAUUCGUAGAUAUUCGGAGGAACACCAGUGGCGAAGGCGGCUCACUGGACCAUUACUGACGCUGAGGUGCGAAAGCGUGGGGAGCAAACAGG